rnacentral:tRNA from 1 species
GGAUGGAGGGCUCAGUGGUUAAGAGUACUGACUUGUCUUCCAAAGGACCUGGGUUCAAAUCCCAGCACUCA